rnacentral:rRNA from 1 species
GACGAACGCUGGCGGCGUGCCUAAUACAUGCAAGUUGAGCGAUGAAGCUUGGUGCUUGCACCAAUUUGAAGAGCAGCGAACGGGUGAGUAACGCGUGGGGAAUCUGCCUUUGAGCGGGGGACAACAUUUGGAAACGAAUGCUAAUACCGCAUAAUAACUUUAAACAUAAGUUUUAAGUUUGAAAGAUGCAAUUGCAUCACUCAAAGAUGAUCCCGCGUUGUAUUAGCUAGUUGGUGAGGUAAAGGCUCACCAAGGCGAUGAUACAUAGCCGACCUGAGAGGGUGAUCGGCCACAUUGGGACUGAGACACGGCCCAAACUCCUACGGGAGGCAGCAGUAGGGAAUCUUCGGCAAUGGACGAAAGUCUGACCGAGCAACGCCGCGUGAGUGAAGAAGGUUGUCGGAUCGUAAAACUCUGUUGGUAGAGAAGAACGUUGGUGAGAGUGGAAAGCUCAUCAAGUGACGGUAACUACCCAGAAAGGGACGGCUAACUACGUG